AGCGGCGGACGGGUGAGUAAUGCUUGGGAAUCUACCUAGUAGUGGGGGAUAACGUGUGGAAACGCACGCUAAUACCGCAUACGUCCUACGGGAGAAAGCAGGGGAUCUUCGGACCUUGCGCUAUUAGAUGAGCCCAAGUCGGAUUAGCUAGUUGGUGGGGUAAUGGCUCACCAAGGCUACGAUCCGUAGCUGGUCUGAGAGGAUGAUCAGCCACACUGGGACUGAGACACGGCCCAGACUCCUGCGGGAGGCAGCAGUGGGGAAUAUUGCACAAUGGGCGAAAGCCUGAUGCAGCCAUGCCGCGUGUGUGAAGAAGGCUCUAGGGUUG
rnacentral:rRNA from 1 species